rnacentral:rRNA from 1 species
UACGUAGGUGGCAAGCGUUGUCCGGAUUUACUGGGCGUAAAGAGCGCGCAGGCGGUCGGAUAAGUCGAAUGUGAAAGCCCCCGGCUCAACUGGGGAGGGUCAUUCGAUACUGUUCGACUCGAAGGCAGGAGAGGGAAGUGGAAUUCCCGGUGUAGUGGUGAAAUGCGUAGAUAUCGGGAGGAACACCAGUGGCGAAGGCGACUUCCUGGCCUGUUCUUGACGCUGAGGCGCGAAAACUAGGGGAGCAAACGGG